rnacentral:lncRNA from 1 species
AAAAAUAAAGAAAAAAGAAAAAGAAGAAACAAAGAGAGGAACAACAACAACAAACACUCUUAGCAGAGAUCGAGCUUAUACACGAAGAAGCAGAGACCAAAAUUUUCAAUACAAAAAAUUUAGCAGAAAAAAAAAAUCAAAAUUGAAAAAAAAUAAAUAGAGAGAGAAAAAGAGAUUAACGAAGAAGAAGCUUCGAAGAUUCGAAAUCAGCAAGUGAAGUUCGAGAUUUCAAUUCAAUUUUCUGAACUUCGUUAAGGUUAGAGUUCAAUCAAUGUAUACUUUUUACUCAAUUUUCUGCUUCAUUUCAUUGAAAUUACGUAAUUUCGUAAUUUUUGUAAUUUCCCCAAUUUUUUUGUGAAGAAUAAAAAUCUAAUUUUUAUUAUUGGGUUUGCUC